rnacentral:rRNA from 1 species
ACAGUCACACAUUAGAUACCCGUGUAGUCCUAGCCGUAAACGACACUCGCUAGGUGUCGGCCACGGUGCGACCGUUGUCGGUGCCGUAGGGAAGCCGUGAAGCGAGCCACCUGGGAAGUACGGCCGCAAGGCUGAAACUUAAAGGAAUUGGCGGGGGAGCACCACAACGGGUGGAGCUUGCGGUUUAAUUGGAUUCAACGCCGGAAAUCUUACCGGGACCGACAGCAAUAUGAAGGCCAGGCUGAAGACUUUGCCGGAUUAGCUG